rnacentral:lncRNA from 1 species
ACGAAACUCCGGCUGCAGCGUCUCAGGUCCCUGCGGAGGCCAGGGCUGGGUCCCUGGCCUGGCUCAGUGGGUUACAGGACCUGCGUUGCCACAGCUAUGACGUGGGUCACAGAUGCGGCUCAGAUUUGAUUCCUGGUCCGGGAACUUCCAUGCGCUGUGGGUACAGCCAUGGUAAUAAUAAUUAUUAUUAUUUUCUUCCUGUGGUGGAGUACUAAGCACAGCCCAUACUUUAAAAAGUCUAGCCAGUGUUUUAUUUAUGUAUGUAUUUUUUCCUUUCCAGGGCCAAAGUUGUGGCAUGUGGAAGUUCCAGGGCUAGGGGUCCAAUCAGAGCUGCAGCCACCGGCCCACGCCUCAGCCACAGCAACGUCAGAUUGGAGCCUCAUCUGCGCCCUAUGCCACAGCUCUCAGCACCCCCGGAUCCUUAAUCCCCUGAGCGAGGCCAGGGAUCGAAUCCGCCUCCUCACAGUUAGUAGGUUUGUUACUGCUGAGCCACAGUGGGAACUCCUUAAACAUCUAGUCAGUAUUUUAAAUGAGACUGAGGGCUCUGCCCUAAGUUGCCACUUGGGUUCUAAAAGGAAACUGUGGACUUCCAGCUGUUUCCUCUCAACGGAGACGCAUCCAGGUCUGUGGUGACCUCAGCCCGGAAAGCAUUGGAUCCAGGCCUUUUCUACAGUUUCGGCAUCGCCAGGACCCAGCUUCUGAAACCCUGCUCUUCGUCCGUCGUUUCCAGUAGAUGAGGAAGUGCCAGGGAAGAAAGGUGUCCCCGUGGGCUGUGCAUGGGGACAGAAAGGGAGCGCUUGGUGCAGUGGCUAAUCCACCAGUGCCUGGAACUGGAGAAUCACUUACGGCGCGGGCUGUUGACUUACACGUAUUUGCUGAGCGCUGGGCAUUGGUGCUGUGUGCGGAAGACCAACGAAAAACCCAGCCAGGUACCCCUGACACCCCACCAGCUGCCCAGGGGAAACGGCUCACAGGGAAACGGCUCUGCAGGUGGGGAAGGGCCUCGGGUGUCUGAUGAGAACCAGGAACCCCACUGGACAUGUGUGGUUCUCACCACACUCUGUGCUGGAUGCCUGGAGGAAUCAUGUCCACGCCAGGGUGGUACCGUCAGAGGGGUGGGUGACUCCUGAGUGGAAUUUACUCUAGAUGAAAAUCUCCAGGGAUUAUACCUCUGAGCAUCUUUGCAGACACAGAAACCGGAGAAUCUGAACUUUUUUUUUUCAUUUUUAUUGGCCACAGUGUGCAGUGGCUUGAUGUGGGACUCAUCAGUUCUCAACCAGGGACUGAACUCAGGCUGCCGCAGUGAAAGCGCCAAGUCCUAACCACUAGACCACCAGAGAACCCUGGAGGAUCCUAAGUUUUGACUCCCGUGGGCCAGAAAAGUGCGCUGGGGCUGGAUGUCGGGUGUGCUGUGGACACAGGGACCUGGUUCCAGGACGGGCGCGGAGCUCCAGGGUCUGAGGUGGCUCACUGGGGACAUGCGGCAAGUUUGGAGACAAAGGUCAGAGUGAGCCAGGCAUGGGAGCGACUGGGUUUAAGAUCAAAGACGACUGGAGACGAAGGCUCUGUCGCCUCCCCUGGACUCGGGCAGAGCUGCUCCACCUGCUGUGAGGGGCCGCACAGGCGCUCUGCCCGCACCUGAUUCCACUUCAGGUUGAAAAGCAGGUCGGCUUCUCCCAGGGGAUCCGUGCACACUCAACACUGUGAGCAGCCGGCCCCCUGCGGCCAUGACUCAGAGGCUCCUGAAAGCUGCCUUUGUCACGGUCCUGCAGCAAGUCACAGCUCGAGGGUCCGGGAGGAAAAGCUGAAACUCUAGAGGCUGUGGUUUUGUGCUUUAGGUUUAUUUCGGGAUGGUGAUAAAGGCCUUGAAUCCCCAGGGAUGCCAGAUAGCGCCAGGCUGUGCUUGAGCUCUGAAAGGCAGCCUGGCACUGCUGCGGGGGAAGGGCUCGAGGCCUGGCCUUGCAGCAGGAUUUCGAGGCCGGUGUCAGAGAAGAGGUGGAGACAGGAGAGGACCCAGGCGAUGAGAGGAAAACGCAGAUCUCAGGGCGGGGAGGGCCCGGCCGGCAGGGCUGUCCUGGAGGGCAGGCCAAGGCGCGGCCUCACUCUGGAUUCCUGAUCAGGAGCUGAGAACCUACUGCUGGCUGCUGAGAGCAAAUCAUUUGCAAAGUGUUGAUUUAUUUUUGUUGUGAAAAUGAAUAAACAGAAACCUCAUUUAAAAUGCA